rnacentral:rRNA from 1 species
UACGAAGGGUGCAAACGUUGCUCGGAAUUAUUGGGCGUAAAGCGCACGUAGGCGGCUAUCUAAGUCGGAUGUGAAAUCCCUCGGCUUAACCAAGGAAGUGCACCCGAAACUGGAUAGCUUGAGUACAGAAGAGGAUCGCGGAAUUCCCGGUGUAGAGGUGAAAUUCGUAGAUAUCGGGAGGAACACCAGUGGCGAAGGCGGCGAUCUGGGCUGAUACUGACGCUGAGGUGCGAAAGCGUGGGGAGCAAACGGG